CCUACGGGAGGCUGCAGUGAGGAAUAUUGGUCAAUGGCCGUAAGCCUGAACCAGCCAAGUAGCGUGAGGGAAGACUGCCCUAUGGGUUGUAAACCUCUUUUAUGCGGGGUUAAAGGUGUCCACGUGUGGAUGUUUGCAGGUAUCGCAUGAAUAAGGACCGGCUAAUUCCGUGCCAGCAGCCGCGGUAAUCCGGAAGGUCCGGGCGUUAUCCGGAUUUAUUGGGUUUAAAGGGAGCGUAGGCGGGUCUUUAAGCGUGCCGUGAAAUUUUGUGGCUCAACCAUGAGAGUGCGGCGCGAACUGGAGACCUUGAGUGCGCGGAAGGCAGGCGGAAUUCGUGGUGUAGCGGUGAAAUGCUUAGAUAUCACGAAGAACCCCGAUUGCGAAGGCAGCCUGCCGCAGCGUUACUGACGCUGAAGCUCGAAAGCGCGGGUAUCGAACAGGAUUAGAUACCCCAGUAGUC
rnacentral:rRNA from 1 species